rnacentral:tRNA from 1 species
CGGGGCGUGGCGCAGCCCGGUAGCGCACUUGAAUGGGGUUCAAGGGGUCGCAGGUUCAAAUCCUGUCGCCCCGACCA